rnacentral:rRNA from 1 species
GACGAACGCUGGCGGCGUGCCUAAUACAUGCAAGUAGAACGCUGAAGGAGGAGCUUGCUUCUCUGGAUGAGUUGCGAACGGGUGAGUAACGCGUAGGUAACCUGCCUGGUAGUGGGGGAUACCUAUUGGAAACGAUAGCUAAUACCGCAUAAUAGCAGUUGUUGCAUGAUAACUGUUUGAAAGGUGCAAUUGCACCGCUACCAGAUGGACCUGCGUUGUAUUAGCUAGUUGGUGGGGUAACGGCUCACCAAGGCGACGAUACAUAGCCGACCUGAGAGGGUGAUCGGCCACACUGGGACUGAGACACGGCCCAGACUCCUACGGGAGGCAGCAGUAGGGAAUCUUCGGCAAUGGACGGAAGUCUGACCGAGCAACGCCGCGUGAGUGAAGAAGGUUUUCGGAUCGUAAAGCUCUGUUGUAAGAGAAGAACGAGUGUGAGAGUGGAAAGUUCACACUGUGACGGUAUCUUACCAGAAAGGGACGGCUAACUACGUG